GCUGUUUCCUCUGCUGUUUUCCCAGUAUACUCUCCCCUCACUGACAGAGACUUAUGCUAUCCAGGUAGGGAUUGGCCUACAAGUCCUGGCCUGUGCUCUGCAGUUACCCUAGGGACUGUCUGUAGUGGGGGCUUCCUGGCUCUUGGAGGCCCUUGGGCAGUCCUUGCAGGAGACCCAAACAUCCCUUCACAGGACUGUCCUGAUGAAUUCUGCCCUGAUGGGAUACUGGGUACUUACUUGAGGCAGAGGGGUAAUACUCCAGCACCAGGGCUGUGUCCUCUGAGAAACUGGUGGCUCCAUCUCGGCCUAGGAAGAGGAAGGACUGGUUCCACAAGGGCUGCUCCGGGGGUCCCCCGGGUUUGGACAACUGGAAGAGGGAGAGCAGAUGUGGGUCACACUUCUUUCAGAUUCAGUUGCACAUGUGUCCCUUACUUGCCACAAUUGUUUUUCUCAGUUAUCAAAAGCCAAAAAUAAAUAAAUAAAUAAAUAAAUAAACAAACAAACAAACAAAUACUAGUAAAAC
rnacentral:lncRNA from 1 species